UGCCGUGAGGUGUUAGGUUAAGUCCUGCAACGAGCGCAACCCUCGUCGCUAGUUAAUUUUCUCUAGCGAUACUGCCCGUAAAACGUGGAGGAAGGUGGGAUGACGUCAAGUCAGCAUGGCCUUUAUGUCUUGGGCUACACACACGCUACAAUGGAUGGUACAAAGGGUUGCCAAAGAGCGAUCUGGAGCUAAUCCCAAAAAACCAUCCUCAGUUCAGAUUGCAGGCUGCAAUGCCUGCAUGAAGUUGGAGUUGCUAGUAACCGCAGGUCAGCACACUGCGGUGAAUACGUUCUUGGGCCUUU
rnacentral:rRNA from 1 species